rnacentral:piRNA from 1 species
UUAAAUGGUGGGACGGUUGAUCUC